rnacentral:rRNA from 1 species
GACGAACGCUGGCGGCGUGCCUAAUACAUGCAAGUCGGACGCAGUUGCGAACGGAUGAGUAACGCGUAGGUAACUGCCUAUUAGAGGGGGAUAAAUAUUGUAAACGAUAGCUAAUACCGCAUACUAGUAGAUGGACCUGCGUUGUAUUAGCUAGUAGGUAGGGUAAUGGCCUACCUAGGCGACGGUACAUAGCCGGGCCGGGAAGGUUGUCCGCCACACUUGGAACGGGGCACGGGCCAGACUCCCUAGGGGGGGAGCCGGAGGGGAAUUUCGGAAAUGGGGGGCAACCCGACCGAGCAACGCCGCGUGGGUGAAGGAGGUUUUCGGAUCGUAAAGCUCCGUUGUUAAGGAAGCGUUACUUACCCAGAAAGGGACGGCUAACUACGUGCCAGCAGCCGCGGUAAUAC